GGUCCGGUAGUUCAGCUGGUUAGAAUGCCGCCCUGUCACGGCGGAGGUCGCGGGUUCGAGUCCCGUCCGGACCGCAA
rnacentral:tRNA from 1 species